CCUGCCCUGCCACCCGAAAGAAAAGAUAACCUGCGCCGCCGGAGCGUGCAGCCCAACCACCACCACCGCCGCCGGAGCCUCGGCUGCCGCUCUCCGGCAUCUCCCACGGAGUGUCUGGCCUCCAAAUGCUUCGCCGUUGUCACCUCCUCCUCGGUGGCAGCAGACCUCCCAAAUCUCUGCCGUCGUGCAGCUCCCCCUCUCCUCGGUGGCAUUCUCUCAAACACCUCCUAAGCAUCCGUGCCGCCGUCUCCCACGCCGCGGCAGACCCCUGCUCCCUCACGCUCCACUUCCUCCGCAAUUCCUGCGGCCUCUCCGAGCCCGCCGCCACCAAGGCGGCCGCGCGCGUCCACCUGCGUUCCACCAAGAAGGCGCACGCCGUCCUCGCCCUCCUCCGCGGCCUCGGCCUCGCGGGCUCCGACAUCGCCCGUGUCGUCGCCGCCGCCCCCGAUUUGCUCAACUACCGGGCCGACGUCACGCUCGCGCCCAAGAUCGACUUCUUCCGCCGAGACGUCGGCCUCUCCGACGCCGACAUCCGCCGCAUCCUCCUCCUCGACCCGUACCGCGUUCUCUGCUACAGCCUCGCUAACCGCCUCCGCCCCAACUACCUCCUCCUCAAGGAGCUCCUCGGCACCGACCAGAACGUGGUCGCCGCAGUCAAGCAGUGCUCGGAGUUCCUCCACGGCAACGUCCAAUCCGAGCUGCUCCCAAAGGUCAAGAUCCUCCGCGAAUAUGGUGCCACGGACGAUGUUAUCAUCAAGCUGCUCACCAAGCACUCCAGGUCGCUUAACCACAAGUACGGAGGCUCCCUCUUUAACGACACCUUUGCCGCCAUCAAGGAGCUCGGGGUCAGCCCGUCCCACGGCAUCUUCCCGCACGCCUUUGGGGUGUUAGCUCGCAUGUAUCCCUCCGGAUGGAAGCGCAAGAUGGACAAUUAUCUCAGCUUGGGGUGGACUGAGGAGCAGGUGAAGCAGGCCUUCGUGAGGCACCCAUACUGCAUAUCUGUGUCGGCUGACAAAGUCAGGCUUAUCUGGCAAUUCUUUGCCGAUAAGCUUGGCUGGACCCCGGAGUAUGUUUCGGCUAGCCCGAUGCUCAUCUCGCUCAGCUACGAGAAGCGCAUCCUACCAAGGUACAGGGUGCUACACAUAUUGGUGUCCAAGGGUCACAUCAGAAGCAUCCGAAUAGCCCAUCUCAUUCUGGGGGAGAAGAAGUUUGUGGACAAGUAUGUCACCAAUUACCUGGAAACGAUUCCUCAACUACUGGAAGCUUACAGAGCUGGGACAGACAGUGCUGUGACUGCCAAGUAGCUGGAGGAUUCUGCUGCGUUCUACCCUGCACAAAGGCACUGUCUCACCCUUCGCCUCAAUUGUUAUUUUUUCUCGUUGACUCAGGACACUGAAGCUCAUUUUACUUCAAAAUUGGCUGGAGCACAUUUUCCUUCAAGAUCCGGCUUAUAAGAUCGGUUUGAAUUGUGGAUACUAGAUACUAACAUAUAAUCUCCGUGUAUUUCUUCUAAUGCAUUGUAUCAUUCUUAUCAAAUGUGGGUUCAUCUCAGCUUAGCACCACAUCAAUUUCUUCCAUUAUAAGCAAAUAUGAUCGUCUAUAUGACCAAUUAUGUAGGUAAAAUAUUUCCUUCCCAUCU